rnacentral:lncRNA from 1 species
UCACCCGUCUUCUGCGUCGCUCACGCUGGGAGCUGUAGACUGGAGCUGUUCCUAUUCGGCCAUCUUGGCUCCUCCCACGUUUCAUAAAUUUCUAAGAUCAGCAAUGUGGGAGACAGGAGCUUCACCUUCAGGCUGGAUUCCAUGAUGGAGAAAAUACAUGGAGCAGACCAGCAGUUAUUUGCAGCUAUCAUGUGAGUUCUCAGACAUUGGACUUGGAUUAGAACUUAUACCAUCAGCCUCCUGGUUCUCAGGCCUUUGGACUCAGAUUAGAACUAACUCACUGGCUUUCCUCAGUCACCAGCUUGCAGAGGGCAGAUCAUGGGACUUCUCAGUCUCCAAAAUCAAAGAUAUUUCGUGAUUAGGGUUGACUUCAGAGUCAGAACUAUUGCCACAAAGCAAAAUGGAACUAUUCAUGCCAAUUCUUCAGGAUUGAAGGGAUCAGAAAUCUGUGCCAAGGACUCUUAGCAUAGAUCCACUUGACAUGGAGAUCCACUCUACUGAAAUGGCAGUGGUAUCAUCAGAGGCACAGUAACAUCCAGACGCAAUCCUUACUGCCUGUGGUUCCUAGAUACCUAGAUGACAGUUUGAAGACUUCACUACGGGGCCAGUGUCAUUCAAAGAUGUGGCUGUGGAUUUCACCCAGGAGGAGUGGCGGCAACUGGACCCUGAUGAGAAGAUAACAUACGG